CUGAGGUUCAGACCGGAGGACUGGGGUUGAGACCGGAGGACUGAGGUUCAGACCGGAGGACUGGGGUUCAGACCGGAGGACUGAGGUUCAGACCGGAGGACCAGAGGACUGGGGUUCAGACCAGAGGACUGGGGUUCAGACCGGAGGACUGAGGUUCAGACCAGAGGACUGGGGUUCAGACCAGAGGACCAGAGGACUGAGGUUCAGACCAGAGGACUGGGGUUCAGACCAGAGGACUGAGGUUCAGACCAGCAGAGAGUCUAAAACACUCCUCUGAGUCAUUAUUGAUGAUCAUAUGAUCGAUAUGAAGAGUUUGAACAAACUUUUACUGACACGACCAGGUUCAUUUUCUUUAACACACACACACACACACACACACACACACACACACACACACACACACACACACACACACACACUCAGAGUACAGGUC